AAGACCUUGCGCUUUUGGAGCGGCCGAUGCCUGAUUAGCUUGUUGGUAAGGUAAAAGCUUACCAAGGCUUCGAUCAGUAGCUGGUCUGAGAGGACGACCAGCCACACUGGGACUGAGACACGGCCCAGACUCCUACGGGAGGCAGCAGUGGGGAAUUUUGGACAAUGGGGGCAACCCUGAUCCAGCCAUGCCGCGUGAGUGAAGAAGGCCUUCGGGUUGUAAAGCUCUUUCAGCCGGAACGAAACGGUUACGGUUAAUACCCGUGACUACUGACGGUACCGGAAGGAGAAGCACCGGCUAACUACGUGCCAGCAGCCGCGGUAAUACGUAGGGUGCGAGCGUUAAUCGGAAUUACUGGGCGUAAAGCGUGCGCAGGUGGUUUUGUAAGUCAGAUGUGAAAGCCCCGGGCUCAACCUGGGAACU
rnacentral:rRNA from 1 species